CUACAUUGUGGCACCCCCAGAGUACCACCGUAAAGCAAUAUAACCCGUUAUUCACCUAGCCUGGAAGUGAUAUCAUGAUGGAAUAGUGGGACAAUUGUUGAUUACAGUUUUACCAUUUACAUGUAUUUUGUGAGAUUUUUAAAACAUAAACAAUUUAGAUAUGUUUACAACAUACAUGUUUGUUGUACAUGUACGUUGAAAAAAAAACAUGGCAUUAUUUGAGUAUGCUUUGAUUUUGAUGAACAUGUACUUGUAUUAUUACCAGAGAACUAAUGUAAGAGAAGUUUUACAUCUCGUUGCUUGAUUUUUAUGGUCACAUGUGUGAAUGAUGCACCAUUGUUGAUGAAAGAAGGAUAUUAAUUUUUUUGUACAGAUACCACAUUUGAAUCGGGGCAAAAAGUGGUCCUGGAUCCAAUAUGGUUUUGGAUUUUAGAGGUACACUGUCACUUGUUUUCAUAUAUUAAUAGUUCACAAUCAUACAGUAGCUAUUGGUUGGGCAAAACCAGCAUAGUUCAUAAUUCGAUAUAUGUUACUGGUUGCAUGCAGUAAAGAUACAUGCAAAUAAAAGUGAAAAUCC
rnacentral:misc_RNA from 1 species